CGCGGCCUAUCAGCUUGUUGGGGGGGUAAUGGCCCACCAAGGCGACGACGGGUAGCUGGUCUGAGAGGAUGGCCUGCCACAUUGGGACUGAGAGACGGCCCAGACUCCUACGGGAGGCAGCAGUGGGGAAUCUUGCGCAAUGGCCGAAAGGCUGACGCAGCGACGCCGCGUGGGGGAGGAAGGCCUUCGGGUUGUAAACCCCUGUUGCCCGGGACGAAUGUGCACUAUUGAGUGCAUUGACGGUACCGGGUGAGGAAGCACCGGCUAACUCCGUGCCAGCAGCCGCGGUAAUACGGAGGGUGCAAGCGUUGUCCGGAAUCACUGGGCGUAAAGGGCGCGUAGGCGGCUCAUAAAGGCUGUGGUGAAAGUUCGGGGCUCAACCUCGAAUCGGCCGUGGCGACUUGUGGGCUGGAGCACUGUAGAGGCAGGUGGAAUUCCGGGUGUAGCGGUGGAAUGCGUAGAGAUCCGGAAGAACACCAGUGGCGAAGGCGGCCUGCUGGGCAGUGGCUGACGCUGAGGCGCGACAGCGUGGGGAGCAAACAGGAUUAGAUACCCUGGUAGUCCACGCCGUAAACGAUGGGCACUAGGUGCUUGGGGGAGCGACCCCCUGAGUGCCGGCGCUAACGCAUUAAGUGCCCCGCCUGGGGAGUACGGC
rnacentral:rRNA from 1 species